GAGAGUUGUAACUGCACGCAUUGCCUUCUUGCAGCAAAUAACUAAACUUUGACUCGCAGCUGCUGCUGCAAUUUUUAGUGAUGGUGCUGGAACUCUAAGCUGAUCUGCACAUGCUUUCCUCUGGCCACAGGGACUGCUUCAGGAGCAACAUGGAAACGAGCUUGGAUGAAAAAGGAUGAGAAGAGACGUGCAGAACCUUCUGAGAAAGAGUUUCCCUCAUUCUUACAAGAGAAUCACAGGAAGAAACACCCUCUCUUUCUCUGGACCUUGAGGAAGGCGGAUGUGAAGGCAGCAUUUUGCGAUGGGAAAAGUCAGUGUAAGGACGAAUCCAACAAACAGAGGAAUAACAAACAGUCUUGGCAGGCAGGAUUAAGUUAAACCUGAAGCAUUCUCUGCUCUGGAAUUCCGUUAUGUGGACCCGUGAAUUCCCAGUUACUGAGCCAGUAAAAACUCAGUUCAGUCUGAGUUUCUGUUACUUUCAAGCAAAAGUAUCCUAACUGCAAAGGUUUCUGUGAAUUCCUAACUACUGGACCCUGAUCCAGGGGCAAUGCAAGAGAACGCAUGAAUAACAAUCUGAACAAACAAAUAUCAGUAAACUUCCAGUCAAACCAUUAAGAGGGAGACCUCAACAGCAAGAUCAUUUUCCAAGUGUGUGAGGCUUCAAGAGUGGGGAGAAGAUCCAGUGAGCCUUUCUGAGGGCACUCUGUUUAGUAUUCAGUAUUCGGCUUAUUAACCUGGCAGUCCUGUCCUUCUGACUUGAAUAGUUUUGUGAGUUAAGGAUAGUUUACAACUUUUCUGACUCUUGCAGGUGACUCAUUCAUCAGAUGGCCUUUCUAUACCAGCCACGUGUUUCCCACUCCUCUUCCUCCUACUUCGUGUGACGUUGCACAUUCCACAUUUUAGCUCAUUGAGCAUAAGAAAUAGGCAAGGCACAUGCGGUGACCAUAGCUACCAGGCGCCUGUGGCAGACACUGUUGGCUGUCUUCCCAAGGUCAUACCAACUUUCCCAGCUUCCUUGCUGGCGUGGCUGUCUCCCACAGCGGAGACAAAAAAUGCCAAGCACUCGCAUUCUCAGCCUCCCUGGUGACCCCAAUUCUGGCCAGUGAUGUAAAGGGAAGUCUGCUUGGAAUUUAUGAGAAAGAAGAAAAGAAAGAAAGGUUUGUCCUCACUCCCCACCCGCCGCCUUUCUGUUUUUAAUGUGAUUGUGUGAAGAUGUGAUGCUCAGAACCCAGGAGGCCAUGUUGUGACAAUGGGGGUCAAGAUCAAGAAAUUGUAGUGCUGGCCCGGGUAGCUCAGUUGGUUAGAGUGGAUAUGCCAAGGUUGUGGGUUCAAUCUCUGGUCAGCGCACAUACAAGAAUCAGCCAAUGAGUGCAUAAAUAAGUGAACAACAAAUCAAUAUUUGUCUCUCUCACCAAUCUCUCUCUCUCUCUCUCUCUCUCUCAAUUAAAAAACAAGAUCAAGAAAUUGCAGAAAAAACAGUGAAGGGAAACAGUUUGCCACCCCAAAGUAAGCCUCUUUGCAAUAUUGAUUAUUUUGAGCUGAUCAAUUUUAACAAACGGCAGACAUGGGCGAAGCUCUGAAAACUAAGUAAAAGUAAUCCUUUUAAAGGACAUUCACAUUUAUAAGGGAAAUCUCCAUUCGUAAGGGUGAUUCCCACACUGCCAGAACUUGAAAGGCAGAGGAUAAUUUUUCCUCCCUAACACCAGCUUAGAGCUUUCUGGAUUUUUGUUCUGUGAUAAAAGUAAGUUAUUUUUCACUUUAAAAUUUUAUUUAUAUUUUACUUCCAUCCAAAAACAUCUUAACUAAUAUUUACUCUUAAAAUCAAUAUAGUUUUCCCAAAUGAACAGACUGAUGAUUCAAGAUGACUUUCAGGCAGUUCAUGGUACCUACCUGGUUAUUUCUCGAUCCAGUUUCUUUGUUGCUAUGGAAAAGCAGUCCUCAACCAAAGGUAUGAGGCAUGAUAGUAAGAAGCUAGGGAAAUUCCUUGGCAAGUAGAAUGGGGAAACUGAGACAGACAGCUGAUUUAAACUGGCCUCAUCCAGCACCCAGACUCACCUGCCUCCUUCUCCCUUGCACAUCCACUCCCUUAAGCAUUAAGCCCUGAAGACAGUGAGGUUCUGAUCAGCAUCAAAUCAUCUUAGGAACAAAGCCUCAGGUCUAUUGACCACAGACACAAAGUUUUGGUCAAACUAGAGAUAGCAACUAGGCCAGCAGUUCUCAACCAGUG